rfam:Myotis brandtii contig208911, whole genome shotgun sequence.
GAGCUGUCUGUCUUUCCAUCUGGGUUACAGACUGAGCUGAGAAGGUCAGGGGCAUGUUCUCGAGCAGGACACAUGCUGGAGUUUGGAGGUCAGUGUACAUAGGGAGUAUAGCCAUCCUCUCAACUGCUCAGCAAAUGUCUCGCUGUGGGGCAGAACAGUGCGUGUCUGUCUGUCUGGAGGUCUCCUCCUGGAAUGCUGGUUGCCUAGCAACAAAAU